rnacentral:rRNA from 1 species
UACGUAGGGUGCAAGCGUUGUCCGGAAUUACUGGGCGUAAAGAGUUCGUAGGCGGCUCGUCGCGUCGACCGUGAAAACCCGCAGCUUAACUGCGGGCUUGCGGUUGAUACGGGCGGGCUAGAGUUCGGUAGGGGAGACUGGAAUUCCUGGUGUAGCGGUGAAAUGCGCAGAUAUCAGGAGGAACACCGGUGGCGAAGGCGGGUCUCUGGGCCGAUACUGACGCUGAGGAGCGAAAGCGUGGGGAGCGAACAGG